rnacentral:rRNA from 1 species
GACGAACGCUGGCGGCGUGCUUAACACAUGCAAGUCGAACGGAAAGGCCCUGCUUUUGUGGGGUGCUCGAGUGGCGAACGGGUGAGUAACACGUGAGUAACCUGCCCUUGACUUUGGGAUAACUUCAGGAAACUGGGGCUAAUACCGGAUAGGAGCUCCUGCUGCAUGGUGGGGGUUGGAAAGUUUCGGCGGUUGGGUAUGGACUCGCGGCUUAUCAGCUUGUUGGUGGGGUAGUGGCUUACCAAGGCUUUGACGGGUAGCCGGCCUGAGAGGGUGACCGGCCACAUUGGGACUGAGAUACGGCCCAGACUCCUACGGGAGGCAGCAGUGGGGAAUAUUGCACAAUGGGCGGAAGCCUGAUGCAGCAACGCCGCGUGCGGGAUGACGGCCUUCGGGUUGUAAACCGCUUUCGCCUGUGACGAAGCGUGAGUGACGGUAAUGGGUAAAGAAGCACCGGCUAAGUACGUG